UGUAACUCCAUCUUGACGAUCGCGGGUUGGUCCUCAUGAUCGGGACCUGGUCCUUGUGACAACGACUCCGGAGGAUCUUCAAAGUUUGGCGAUAGUGGUCAGGAGGCUUGCAAACGUGGUUGACACCUGAGCAGCCCAAAAACUGUACCUUGAGCUACGCUACUAAGCUUGAUUUUGGACCUUUGGAAGCACUCCGUGCACUUGAUAUUAACUUGCAUGAGCUC
rnacentral:lncRNA from 1 species